rnacentral:rRNA from 1 species
UACGGAGGGUGCAAGCGUUAAUCGGAAUUACUGGGCGUAAAGCGUGCGCAGGCGGUUUGUUAAGUCCGUUGUGAAGGCCCCGGGCUCAACCUGGGAAUGGCGAUGGAUACUGGCGAGCUAGAGUGCGGUAGAGGAGAGUGGAAUUCCCGGUGUAGCAGUGAAAUGCGUAGAGAUCGGGAGGAACAUCAGUUGCGAAGGCGGCUCUCUGGACCAGCACUGACACUGAGGCACGAAAGCGUGGGGAGCAAACAGG